UCCAAUUGUUAACGUUCUUGAGCAUAUUAAAAUUUGUUUUUUUCAGCAUCGUCAUGAAGACUGUCCUCAUAUUGAUGUGUCUAGCUGUCUUCUGUUCGAUUGGGUGCGCUGCCCCAAACGUGAUAGUCAGUCAAGACACCGACUUGGGUUAUAUUGACACAAGUAAAUCCAAAAGCUUCUACAUAAGGAAUGUUGAUAAACGAUCGCCCGAGAACGCAGAUGUCAACUUUGACAGUGACUGAACUGACAACUAGACACCAGAGGAGGCAACAGUUACUUGCACAGAAAACGGUUCUCAAAGUUUGAGUUGGUGGAGCCUGUCCUUUUAUUUAGAGAGGAAUAAUAAAAGUUCUGU